GAGGAAAUGGAGGCUUGAAGCAGUUAACUGACUGACUUUAGGGCAUCCAAGGGGUGUAGUUUAGAGAAUGCUGGACUCGGAGUCAAGAAGAUCGAUCGUCCUGGGGGCUGGCAGAAUUCUCAUGCCCUCCUGACUAAUCUACCAACCAUAGGGCGAAGCCCAGCAGAGGACCCACGCAACGCCUGCCAACGAUCUCUCCUGCCUCCCUUCUUGGGGGACCAAAUGAAUGAAUGAAGCAGAGGAAAGAAAGCACUAAAAGCUGGGUUUGAACUUGGAACCAGAAGAGCCAGGUCCAAGCCCCUGCUCUGUCGUUGGUCCCCCGGAGGCAUCUGGGAGAGCCCCUUUUCCAUCUCUGCGCUGUCAUUUCCUCAUCUGAAAAAUGAGUGGGUUGGAGUGUCCUGUGUUGAAGCUGCCAGUGAGUUCACAGAGGAUGCUCGGGAAGUCCCGCGCCGUCCUCCUCUCUGUGUUGUCCUCCUCUCCGUCUUCCAGGUGCUAAUGUUUCCUUUUAGCUCAGCAUCCUCGAUGCUCGGGUUCCUUCUCACUCUGACAUCCCGAGCUCUGACCCUUCCCAACUCGGGUGAGCCACGUUCCACAUUCCUCUUCAGCCUUCCCGUCCUAGGCUUGCAGUGGGAAGCUUCCCUCUGGCUGUCUGGCUUUCUGUUCCAAAUGGGAAGCCCCCUUUCAGCUCUGCCUCUCCGACGCCCUCCAUCUUGGAUGGGUUCAGCCUCCGCUGGGGGGCCCCUUCCCAGCUGUUCCUGAAACUGCAGAAGAAAAGUUCUUGGGAUCUCAGGCCCUCCCCCUUCUUGAAACCAUUUGACGUUUUAUUUCCUCCCAUCAAACUCUCUCUUCCCUGCUAAUGGCAGAAUAAUAAAAAAAUUAUCCUGCCCAA